rnacentral:rRNA from 1 species
CGGGAGGCUUAACACAUGCAAGUCGAGGGGCAUCACGAGGUAGCAAUACUUUGGUGGCGACCGGCAGACGGGUGAGUAACGCGUAUGCAACCUACCCUGUACAGGGGGAUAACCCGGAGAAAUUCGGACUAAUAUCCCAUAAUAUUAUUUGGAGGCAUCUUCGGAUAAUUAAAGUUCCGGCGGUACGGGAUGGGCAUGCGUAACAUUAGCUAGUUGGUAAGGUAACGGCUUACCAAGGCUUUGAUGUUUAGGGGUCCUGAGAGGGUGGUCCCCCACACUGGUACUGAGACACGGACCAGACUCCUACGGGAGGCAGCAGUGAGGAAUAUUGGUUAAUAGGCGCAAGCCUGAACCAGCCAUCCCGCGUGCAGGAAGACGGCCCUAUGGGUUGUAAACUGCUUUUCCGAAAGGCGAAACUCAGCGACGUGUCGUUGAUUGACGGUAUUUCGGGAAUAAGCAUCGGCUAACUCCGUGCCAGCAGCCGCGGUAAUACGGAGGAUGCGAGCGUUAUCCGGAUUCAUUGGGUUUAAAGGGUGCGUAGGCGGACUAAUAAGUCAGUGGUGAAAUCCUGCAGCUUAACUGCAGAACUGCCAUUGAUACUGUUAGUCUUGAGUUUGGUUAAGGUAGGCGGAAUGUGUAAUGUAGCGGUGAAAUGCUUAGAUAUUACACAGAACACCAAUUGCGUAGGCAGCUUACUGGACCGACACUGACGCUGAGGCACGAAAGCGUGGGGAUCGAACAGGAUUAGAUACCCUGGUAGUCCACGCCGUAAACGAUGAUUACUCGCUGUUGGCGAUACACAGUCAGCGGCUAAGCAAAAGCAAUAAGUAAUCCACCUGGGGAGUACGGCCGCAAGGUUGAAACUCAAAUGAAUUGACGG